AGACCAGUGGCGCAGUGGUUAGCGUUGUCCACUUAUGAUGGACGGGUCCCGGGUUCGAAUCCCGGUUGGUCUA
rnacentral:tRNA from 13 species